rnacentral:misc_RNA from 1 species
AACUUGUUGCAAUGUAUCUCUUGGUUCUGGCGACGAUUAAGAACGCAGCGAAAUGCGAUAAGUAAUGUGAAUUGCAGAAUUCAGUGAAUCAUCGAAUCUUUGAACGCACAUUGCGCCCCCUGGCAUUCCGGGGGGCACACCUGUUCGAGCGCCAUUUCAACCCUCAAGCCCUGCUUGGUGAUGGGCCCCGCCCGCGGGCGGGCCCGAAACUCGUGGGCGUCGUCGUUCGGCUCCAAGCGUAGCAAAACCCUCGCUUGGGCGCCCGGACGGCGGCCGCCCGGAACGAAUCAUUUACAAGGUUGGCCUCGGAUCAGGUGGGGAUACCCGCUGAACUUAAGCAUAUCAAUAAGCGGAGGCU